GCUGUGAUGGCUGAGUGGUAAAGGCGUUGGACUUGAAAUCCAAUGGGUAUUACCCGCGCAGGUUCAAAUCCUGCUCACAGCGA
rnacentral:tRNA from 1 species